rnacentral:tRNA from 1 species
GGGAUCAUAGUCUAGCUUGGCAUGACGCCAGCCUCGGGCGCUGGAGGUCGCCGGUUCAAGUCCGGCUGAUCCCA